CCAGUAGUCAUAUGCUUGUCUCAAAGAUUAAGCCAUGCAUGUCUAAAUACAGCCGAGUUGAGGUGAAAUCGCAUACGGCUCAUUAAACGACAAUCAAAGUAUAGCGAUGAAGCGUUUCGUCCGGAUAACUUAGGUAGUUCUUGAGCUAAUACGAGCAAUAAGAGUCGACUAAGGAAGACUCGCGCCUGUCCGCCCAAGAACCAAACAGCCUCGGCUGAUACCGAAGUGAUUUAGGAUAGAUUCGCUUCUCUCAUUGCCUUGUGCAGGAGAAGCUAGCUGUCUAAGUGUUAUCUAUCAUGUUUCGACUGGUCAACAGUGUUCUCCAGUGCGGUUGACGGAUAACGGGGAAUCAGGGUUCGGUUCCGGAGAGGGAGCCUUAGAGACGGCUACCACAUCUAAGGAAGGCAGCAGGCACGCAAAUUACCCAAUAGUCGAAGACUGAGGUAGUGACGGAAAAUAACAAUACUAGACUCUUCCGAGGCCUAGUAAUUGGAAUGGAUCGAUCUUAAACCUGUCCAUUAGGAUCUAUUAGAGGGCAAGUCUGGUGCCAGCAGCCGCGGUAAUUCCAGCUCUAAUAGCGUAUAUUAAUGUUGUUGUGGUUAAAAAGCUCGUAGUUGAAAAUCAGCAGCGAAUAGUCGGUUCCCAUCGCUGGGCUACUGUCUGAUUCUGCUGUCAGCAGUGUACUAUUCCGCGCUGGUGCCUUUAACCGGGUGUCUGUGCGGCAGUACAGCUUUACUUUGAAAAAAUUAGGGUGUUCACGGCAGGCUUUCACGCCUGAAUGAUAGCGCAUGGAAUAAUGGAAAAGGAUUCUUUGCCCUUUUCGUUGGUUUCACGGCGACAGAAUAAUGAUUAAAAGGGACUGCCGAGGGCAUUACUAUUCAAAGGCUAGAGGUGAAAUUCUUGGACCCUUUGAAGAGUCACUGCGGCGAAAGCAUUUGCCAAGAAUGUUUUCAUUAAUCAAGAACGAAAGUUAGAGGUUCGAAGGCGAUUAGAUACCGCCCUAGUUCUAACCAUAAACUAUGCCAGCCAUCGAUCCGCGGGUGUUUAGUAUUAACGACCCUGCGGGGAGCUUCCGGGAAACCAAAGCUUUUGGGUUCCAGGGGAAGUAUGGUUGCAAAGCUGAAACUUAAAGUAAUUGACGGAAGGGCACCACCAGGCGUGGAGCCUGUGGCUUAAUUUGACUCAACACGGAGAAUCUCACCAGGCCCGGACACUAGAAGGAUUGACAGAUUGAAAGCUCUUUCUCGAUUUGGUGGAUGGUGGUGCAUGGCCGUUCUUAGUUGGUGGAGUGAUUUGUCUGGUUAAUUCCGAUAACGAACGAGACUCUGUCUUACUAAAUAGACACCGGCUAGUCAUUCAACGGCAGGCUGGCUUCGGGUAGCUUCGCGCUUGCCUGGAGUUUUGCUAAUGUCGCUGUAGGCUUGGUGACUCUUCUUAGAAGGACUGGCGGUUAUUAGCCGCACGAAAUAGAGCAAUAACAGGUCUGUGAUGCCCUUAGAUGUUCUGGGCCGCACACGCGCUACACUGGAGCUAUCAGCUAGUUUUUCCCUGGGCGAGAGCCCCGGGUAAACUGUUGAAUCAGCUUCGUGGCAGGGAUCGGAGCUUGCAAUUAUUCUCCGUGAACCAGGAAUGCCCAGUAGGAUCGAGUUAUCAGCUUGAUUCGAUUAAGUCCCUGCCCUUUGUACACACCGCCCGUCGCUACUACCGAUUGAAUGUAUUAGUGAGAUCCAUGGACGGCUACAGGCAAGCUUUGACGAGCUAGUCGCGUGGCUGGAAGUCGAUCAAGCUGAUGCAUUUAGAGGAAGUAAAAGUCGUAACAAGGUUUCCGUAGGUGAACCUGCAGAAGGAUCA
rnacentral:rRNA from 1 species